rnacentral:misc_RNA from 1 species
GAUGAAGAACGUAGCGAAAUGCGAUAAGUAGUGUGAAUUGCAGAAUUCAGUGAAUCAUCGAGUCUUUGAACGCACAUUGCGCCCCCUGGUAUUCCGGGGGGCAUGCCUGUCCGAGCGUCAUUGCUGCCCUCAAGCACGGCUUGUGUGUUGGGCCCCGUCCUCCGAUCCCGGGGGACGGGCCCGAAAGGCAGCGGCGGCACCGCGUCCGGUCCUCGAGCGUAUGGGGCUUUGUCACCCGCUCUGUAGGCCCGGCCGGCGCUUGCCGAUCAACCCAAAUUUUUAUCCAGGUUGACCUCGGAUCAGGUAUGGAUACCCGCUGAACUUAAGCAUAUCAAUAAGCGGAGGA